rnacentral:SRP_RNA from 1 species
GCCGGGCAUGGUGGCGCAUGCCUGUAGUCCCAGCUACUCGGGAGGCUGAGGCAGAAGAAUCGCUUGAACCCAGGAGGUGGAGGUUGCAGUGAGCACAGAUCGCGCCACUGAAUUCCAGCCUGGGUGACACAGCGAGACUCCAUCUUAA